ACUUAUGGCCAAAUCACAUUGGAAUCAUUGGUUGGUUCUUGUCUGAUCACUGAAGUUAAAAAAUAUUGAUUCUAGUUAGUAUAUAGAUAGAUAACCACUUGGGAAACGUGGAUGUUGUAAGCA
rnacentral:rRNA from 1 species